rnacentral:rRNA from 1 species
ACGGAGGAUGCGAGCGUUAUCCGGAUUUACUGGGCGUAAAGGGUACGCAGGCGGAUUAAUAAGUCAGUGGUGAAAUCCCGCGGCUUAACUGUGGAACUGCGAUUGAUACUGUUAGUCUUGAGUAUGGUCAAGGUAGGCGGAAUGUGUAGUGUAGCGGUGAAAUGCGUAGAUAUUACGCGGAACACCGAUUGCGAAGGCAGCUUACUGGGCCAUUACUGACGCUGAUGCACGAAAGCGUGGGUAUCAAACAG